rnacentral:rRNA from 1 species
AUUGAACGCUGGCGGCAUGCUUUACACAUGCAAGUCGGACGGCAGCACAGAGAAGCUUGCUUCUUGGGUGGCGAGUGGCGAACGGGUGAGUAAUAUAUCGGAACGUACCGAGUAAUGGGGGAUAACUAAUCGAAAGAUUAGCUAAUACCGCAUAUUCUCUGAGGAGGAAAGCAGGGGACCUUCGGGCCUUGCGUUAUUCGAGCGGCCGAUAUCUGAUUAGCUAGUUGGUGGGGUAAAGGCCUACCAAGGCGACGAUCAGUAGCGGGUCUGAGAGGAUGAUCCGCCACACUGGGACUGAGACACGGCCCAGACUCCUACGGGAGGCAGCAGUGGGGAAUUUUGGACAAUGGGCGCAAGCCUGAUCCAGCCAUGCCGCAUGUCUGAAGAAGGCCUUCGGGUUGUAAAGGACUUUUGUCAGGGAAGAAAAGGCUGUUGCUAAUACCGACAGCUGAUGACGGUACCUGAAGAAUAAGCACCGGCUAACUACGUG